ensembl:lincRNA
UAUGGGCACCUGUGGUCUAAAUCCUACAACACCAGAGAUGACAGCAAAUACCACACGCUAAAGCAACGAGCUGUAGUAACACGAGGCUGCAAUUCAGCUGCGUGGGUCAGGGGAAGUGGUCGGUUCUUGGUUUUGGAACCAGACGGCCCCCUCUGGAGCCCAGAUUCUGCCACUUACCUUAGGAGGCGAGGUCUUUUUCUGUGCCUCACUUUGCUGACAAGCGGAGAUGAUCAUCACCAAGGGGCUAACGCUGGCAAAGUGGUUAAAACAUCACCGACCAAAGGAAGAUCCUUUGUCAUUUUUGUUGACUUCUCAGGUGGCAAUGGAAGAGAGGAAAUGACAGCACCUGGUGCACUGCUUGGGGAAGCAGGAAACCGGGUGCAUUUAAAGGAAGGGGCAGCGCGAGGCAGCCACGCACAGGUGUCGGCGUGUACUUUGCUCUCCGAGAUAAGCGAAGCCUGUGCCUAUUUAAACGUGGGUGGCAAAGGGGCCAGCGGACAGGAAGACGGGAGAGAGCGGGCGGCGUGGGAGCAGGAUGAUCUGCAGCUUGGACACCGGAGAUUCGAGGGUCCACGUUUGCACCUCCAUCUCACCCCCGUGACCAUCUCGGGAAAGGCAUCCUGCUGCUGAGCUCAGGCCCGGGCUCAUCUCUUACCCCUGACACCACAGUGAUAUUUUGUUAAUGAAAUGCAAAUAUGUGUGUUAUUUCCUUUCUUAAUACCCUCAAUAUUUUCCCAUGACCUUCAGUAUAAAAUUAAAACAAGUUAGUUCACAGAGCUCUCUACAGCCUUUUCUCUGCCCUGUCUUUGGUCUUCUCUGUCACCUCCAUCCUGUUUUCCAGUGAACACAAACUCUUGUUUCCUGCUCAUGAUAUGCAUGGAUUUUCCUUUUCUGAUACACUCCCUGCUCCUCUUCCCUGCCUGACUAAUCCAACCCAUCUUCCAAGGUUCAGCCCAACUGCUGCUUCCUCCAGGAAACUGUGUCUCUCAUUAAAACACCUGUGUUGUAAUUUGUUUCUAUUUAUCCAUCAUUUUUGCUUUCUGAGAUGAACAUUUCAUUUUUCUUCUGAGGUGGCUGUCAUGAUUUACACUAUUCAACAAAUUAUUGCUGGUAAAAGAACAGCAAGAAGAUGUACAAUAAUUAACUAUGAAAGUUUGAGUAAAAGUAGUCAUUUCAGAUGAUUCCAGGCACAAACUAUCUUUAUGUUAUUUAAAACAGGUAAUUAGCAACAAAUUUUUAUUACUCUGUACAUUUGAUGAUUUUGUAGUCACAGACAGAACAAAUUUUAUACUUAUUCUUGAAACAGGCAGAUAUUCUGUGGCAAAAACAUAAAUUCGAGCAAGAAUGUCAUAACUUCUUAGUUGGUAGAAAUUUAAAUGUAAUCUUGGAAACUCAAGGAAAAAUUUAAAGUUGAGUUGACUGAGACCCUCCAGCAUUUCUUUCUUUUUCUUUUUAGGAAAGGGUCUUGCUGUGUAUUUCAGGCUGGCCUUAAACUCACAGUGAGUCUCCUGCCUCAGUCUCCUGAAUGCUGAGAUUACAAGCAUGCAAGCCCUGCAGAUCCAGAAUUUCCUGAAAAGCAAAAUAGUGCAGUUUUGCAGCAAAACAGGCUUUGACUUUGGGUAGACCUGAGUUUGAAUUCUGAACAACACCAGGCAGUCAUAUGAUUAUGAAAACAUUUUGCCUUACUUUGCUUAGCCAGUUUCCUUAUUUUUAGGACACAAUAACAUCUACCUUGCAAUGUAGUUGCAAAGAAUACACAAAACUAAGUUAUGUGAGGCCUUUAUUUUUAAGAACACUGUAAAUCCUCAGAGGGCAAUGACGUCCAAAGAAAGCCAUUUACAAGAUGCCUCAACUUUGAAAACAGGGCUGUAAUUUGGAUGUGAGAGGAAUUAUGAGAGCACCAAAGCAGCGCUGACAUAUAGUAAGGCUGAGUGAUUUUACCAUUCUUUUAAGAGUUGAAUUACCUUUAGCAAGCUGUGGAACCACUGGGAUUUCCUCUUCGGGUGCCAGCAAGAAUGUUCCUGCCCACAGCUAAGGUGGUUUUAAAAUAAAACUCCAAAAGCAUAACUAACAUGUAAGUGCUUUCAAAAGUAAAAGGAAUCUGCAGUUCCCAUUAAUAUUUGGAUUAGAUGUAGGCUAGAGGGUAAGAAGGCAAAAAAAAGAAGUGAGAGUUAUCAAUGGCGUUAUCUAAACCGCCUAUUUCGGGGUAGUCUCUGCAUUGUACCGUGGUACCAGGCCAACGGGUUUUAAGUGAAACUUUCUUCUUGCAUACCUGCCAAUGAAAAUGAGGGUUCAGUGGUCGUCCUGUAGGACCAGGAGAAUCCAGUUACAGAACUCAGUUUUUGUGUUAUGCUUAACUCAUUGCACAACUACUGCCAUAUUGCAAAACUCUACUAGUACCAGGCAGAAAAAUGACAAAUACCAGGGGACUCAUAGAUUUGGCAUGGCAUUUCCCAACCCCGACUCCUUAUACUAACCACCCAAAGAUGAUUAAAAUAAAAAUUCCUAGCUACUUCCCCAGAGAUUAUGUGUCAGAAAGUCUGGCAUAGGGCCUGAGUGUUUUCUUUCUUUUUUCUUUUCUUUUUAACAAAUGAGCUCUUUGCAGGCAGUUCUUAUCAUCCAGGUAUGACAACUUUCAUGUGGUCCAUAGUUCUCAAGCAUCAUACUAUGCCAUCAGCAACAUCCCCCAGGAACUUGCUAGAAAUGCAGAUUCUUCGUUCUCACCCAGAUACUGGAUCAGAUAUGCUGGAGGAUAGAACCCAGAAGCCUCUGUAUGAGAAACCCUCUGAAAAUCCUUAUGCACACUAAAGCUUGAAAAACGACAUUGUCAAGUGUUUCCAAGACAGCUGGAAACUGAGAAUGUCGCUGUGAUGUGUGAAAUAGGAAAAUUCCUCAUCAAAUUCUCCAGGACUAGGAAGGUCACAACUUUAAGUAGCAAAUCCUGCUCUUUCCUUGACAUCACUACAUCCAUCUUCAUUUUCUACGAAAGAGUUUGAUUCUGUAGAUCCUUCUCAAUUUCCCAAUUGAUCGGGACUGCUCUCCUUUCUCCUGCUGGAUGAUAAACAUCUUUGUUAUUUCUUUUCUCACUUCAGUUCAUCUGGGCUGCUUCACUCCUUCUUUAAAGACAUUGGUUGAAUCCCCACUGGCUCUGUCUACUUGUGGCUGAGACCACACUUCUGUCAAAGGGCUUUUAAUAUCUGAAUGUAUCCGGAGGUCUGCCACCAUAUUCUUCUAAGGGAAGGAUUUAGCUGAUGACCCAUUGUCCUUUUUUCUUUCUUUUUUUUUUUUAAUUCUUUGGAAGAUGAAGGCAAUGACUAAUGAUAUUUGCCAUUUUUUAAAUGGCCUUCAUUUUCAGCGCUAACUCCUGGGAUUGCUGAUAUCCAUAUAUUCUCAUCUUGUGUAUGAAGCAAAGAUAAAAAGGAAAUCGCCACCGACUGAGGAGAUUAUGCUGGCACCACAGAAAAGAAGAUGCAUUAGCACUAAUUUUCUGAGGCUGCUGUAACAAAGUUCCACAUGCUGUACUGUUGAAGCAAGAGAAAUUUACUGUCUCCUUAUAAUGCCAUCCUGAAGCCUUGAGGUUCAAGAUCCAGCCUCUUGUGGUUUGUUGGCAAACUUUGGCGUUCCGGGGAUCACAGACACUCUCACUGUCCUCUCUCAGGCUUCACGUUCACAUGAUGUUCUUCCCAAGUCUGGGUCUGUGGCUUACGUUUCUUUCUUUUAUAAGGAAAUCAGCAUCCUUGGAUUAAGAGCCUGCCCUGCCUCAUCUUAACUGCAAUUACCUUAUUUUCAAAUAAUGUCACAUUCUGAGGACAGGGAGGCAGAAUGUCAACACAAGAAUUUGGGAGGAAAACUUGCUCAUAGCUGAAGAGUUGGCUGCUUUAGAGAUGAAGCCAAACAUAAACUCCAAGAUCAUAAGAACUGACAUACUAUUGCUUGAGAGAUUUAAUGGGUUUAGGAAUUGAAUACAAAUUUCAGUGACACAGUCCAGCCCUAGCUACAACUAUGAAAGUCAUAUCGCAAGUGCUAUUUCUGACCUAGAAAUAUCUGCAAGUUUUCCCUGUUAAAAAACAAAGGGGGAAGAGAGCCAAUUUUAUAAAGGAGAGGGUAGGAGAGAUAUCUGUGUUAGGUUUCAAAUCAAAUUUUAAAUUAUCAAAGUCAAGUUAAGAAGGAGGAGAGGUUAUGAGAUUCCUUCUUGCGGUCUCAACUUAAGUAGAUUUCACUGCUUUAAGUAGAUUUCUCCCUACAAGUUUCCCAAUCAGGGCCACAUACUCUGCUAGGAAUUGGAGUUCGAAACCAGAUGCUACACAUUUAAAAGAGGACAUUCGUGGAUUCAUAAAGCCAUGUAACUGAGACAGCAUCCAAACAAGUGUAUGAUGCUGUUACUGAGUGGGGAAAGUAACUAUGGGUAGUUCUGCUAUGACUUUCUUGAGUCAGACAAGUGUAUUUGAGGAUUUUAAUUUACUGGUGCACAGAAAACCUUUCCAAAGAGCACCACAAGCAGUUCCACUCUCAUUGAUUCCCCUGUGAAAGUCUCAUUUUGAGUAGAAGUGCCUCUCUACUCCCUUUAUCUUCCAAGUCUGACUCUUGGCAGCUGUUCUGUGCUUCCCAGCAGCGAAAGGCCGCUGAUAACUGCGGAGAUCAUAGCUUCAUGUUUGUUUCUACUGCAGGUACCAUUAACCUGGCAUUUACGCUGUACCAGUAAAAUCCCCUUGGCUGUACUUUUUUAUUACCACAUUCACGGACCCCUGUGCCCCACUUUUUAAAAGGAAAAACAGUGGUUUGUUGGGAAGAUAAUGGACUUAUGUUGUAGGGAGUUAUGCAACUGUUUUUGAAAAAGUAAUACAAUUUCAAGCACAUUUCUAAGGUCCUUUUGAUAUCAACACUCUUGCUGUUUUCUCAGUCACUGUGGUAUUUGUCCAAUACUUGGCUCAUGCUAAUCUGGUACAAAGCUGAACAGAUAAUUUUCUUGAAAUGGCUCACCACCAAAGGCUAAUUAUAAGUAGUACACUUAGAAUAUCUCUAUAUAUACUAAUGGUUGUAAGAAAGAGAGGGGAAAUAGCUAUAUACUUCACUCAGACCUCAAGACCAUAAAAGAAACUAAUCUCCCAUUGUGGAGGUGGCUACCCAAGCCCAUGGACAGGCUGGUGAGGAUAAAAAUAAACCACGUUUAGGAGAUGGCAUCAACAGCAAAAGUCUAGUGAGGACCCACCCUCGACUGGGUUUG